rnacentral:misc_RNA from 1 species
UCCGGGUUGGACCCGGCGGUCCCGCCAGACAUGGUAACUGGCAGCGAGGGUUGCGCUCGUUGCGGGACUUAACCCAACACCUCACGGCACGAGCUGACGACAGCCAUGCAGCAUCUGUGCACGCUCCCUUGCGGGUCCUUCCGCUUUCGCGGUCGUACCACGUGCAUGUCAAGCCCAGGUAAGGUUCUUCGCGUUGCGUCGAAUUGAACCACAUGCUCCGCUGCUUGUGCGGGUCCCCGUCAAUUCCUUUGAGUUUUAGCCUUGCGGCCGUACUCCCCAGGCGGGGCACUUAAUGCGUUAGCUGCGGCACGGAGGGAGUCGACACCCCCCACACCUAAUGAGCAUCGUUUAGGGCUAGGACUAC